AUUCCAGCUCCAAUAGCGUAUAUUAAAGUUGUUGCAGUUAAAAAGCUCGUAGUUGGACUUCUGUGAGAGUGCCGGUGUCGGCCGAUGCUUGUACGCAGGCGCUCUUACAUCCUUCUGUUAACUGUUCUUGGCAUUUUAUUGCUGGUUCAGGGCUCAGAUAUUUUACCUUGAGAAAAUUAGAGUGUUUCAGGCAGGCUUAUGCCGGAAUACAUUAGCAUGGAAUAAUGGAACAGGACCUGUGCGUCUCUCGGGGCGCCGGUCUCCGUUGUUGGUUUCGGGGACUAAUGUAAUGAUUAAUAGGGAUAGUUGGGGGCAUUAGUAUUUAAUAGUCAGAGGUGAAAUUCUCGGAUUUGUUAAAGACUAACUUAUGCGAAAGCAUUUGCCAAGGAUGUUUUCAUCA
rnacentral:rRNA from 1 species